GUAGCAUAGAUUUCCUAAACAGUAGCAGCUCUGUAAAUUGUUGCUUGAAAUGUCAUUGAUCUUUAAAACAUAACCAUAGUGACAGCAACAUAAAUGAGACCCCAGAAAAAGAAACAAAAAAGGAGGGAGAAAUCUAUGCCACAAAAGAAAAAACAAAGAAAAUACUGAUUGGGUUAUUUCAUAAAUAUAGAGGAGAAAUGAAGAUGGUGUACCUGAUUAUCAGAGUCACUGAAGCAAAUGCCACUGCAGGGUUUAAAAGAAGGGGGGCACACUCCAUAGUUUUCCUUCAUAUUAUGGCAUUAUUGACGUGAAGAGACAGUACAAGAGGUAAAAAAAUUGGGGGAACCUGACCAGCCAACAACCUUUGCAACUGAACAUCUUUGACAAGAAAUCCUUAUUAAAUCAAAACCAACAUAAAGAUGCAGAAACAUUCUUUUACAAGGAAUAAUUUGUUGCUCAAGAUGCUAAAUAUUCUGGCUUGCAUCAUUAUCAUUCUUUAUUAAACCAAAAAGAAGAAAGAAAAACUAGCACAAUGAUAAACUCAGAAAGCAAUGUACUCGGAACAAAGAAAAAAAAAAAUUAUGAACAAGCACAUACUUUGCUAAUAUUUCCAAGAUAUCUGGAUGUCUAGGAUUGCAUCAAGAGAGACACCUAUAUCCACAUUGGAAACCUCAUCUAUAACAAAUUAGAAAGUAAAACUUAAGAGAGAUUCCCUAAUAAUAGCAAGAUUCUAAGUUAUCUAUAACAAAUUAGAAAAUCCUGUUGAGGUGGCUCUCAAUGAAAGCAUCAAUUUGUGGGAUAUGAUUCCACAAACACUUUGAGAUGUCUCAUUUAAAAGAAUGCAACUGAGGCCUUUGCACACCAACCUUCUCAACGGUUCCUAUUGAUCUCAAAAUGUGAAUCUAAGCCAAUAGGUCCUUUGUAUCUUCACAGCAUUAUAAAAGAAAACAUGUAGUAGAAAGGCUAACAAAACUUGUCAUAAUCAACUGAUAAUUAUAUCUCCUUGAAAUUAAAUCCAAAGUGACA